UUAUCAGCUGUGAAAAAAAAGAGUAAGGAUAGCAUUGUAUAAAGAGAGAAAAGCUUAUUAGCUGAAAGGCUUUUCAUAUGGUAUAUCCUGAAGGUAGUUUUGGAGCUUCUUUACUGAAAUAGAAGUAAGUAGAGACGGUUUUGUACCGUUAUUUUUGUGAGAGUCUGUAAUUUUCAGAAAAAAAGGUGGUAACGCGGGUCUUCGUCCUUUGU
rnacentral:ncRNA from 1 species